rnacentral:sRNA from 1 species
ACUUAGCCACAGCACUAUGUGAGGAAAGAAGACGCCUGCUACCUAGGCUUAAUGUAAAAUUAGGUAUAAACAUCGCUGGUGUAUAACUAGAGGUGGGUUUUUUUUUUAGUACGUAUGCGUGAUGAGCUUCAACUUGUUGAAGUAAAUUCAUGAAUCGUGCAUGCUAAAAGGGAGUGGCUCCCUUUUGGUAUCUUUUGAAGAUUUCCCUUCCUCUGCGAUC